rnacentral:rRNA from 1 species
UACGAAGGGUGCAAACGUUGCUCGGAAUCAUUGGGCGUAAAGCGCACGUAGGCGGCUUCAAAAGUCGGAUGUGAAAUCCCUCGGCUCAACCGAGGACGUGCAUCCGAAACUGUGAGGCUUGAGUACUGAAGAGGAUCGCGGAAUUCCCGGUGUAGAGGUGAAAUUCGUAGAUAUCGAGAGGAACACCUGCGGCGAAGGCGGGUUGCUGGGCUGAUGACUGACGCUGAGGCGCGAAAGCCAGGGGAGCGAACGGG